GCCCUAGUAGCUUAGUUAAAAGCGCCGGUCUUGUAAUCCGGAGACGGCGGUUAAAAUCCGCCCUGAGGCC
rnacentral:tRNA from 1 species